UCCUACGGGAGGCAGCAGUGGGGAAUAUUGGGCAAUGGGCGCAAGCCUGACCCAGCAACGCCGCGUGAAGGAAGAAGGCUUUCGGGUUGUAAACUUCUUUUGUCAGGGACGAAGCAAGUGACGGUACCUGACGAAUAAGCCACGGCCAACUACGUGCCAGCAGCCGCGGUAAUA
rnacentral:rRNA from 1 species